rnacentral:lncRNA from 1 species
UCUUUUUAGAGAUCGUACCAGAUGGUUCAUUGAAACCGUGUGCGAUCGAAGCAGCGGCACAAAGUUUGGUAAUAAUAUUUUUUCUUUUUGUUCUUGUGGUUUGAUCUUGUAUUCCGUGUUCGAUUAAACCUUUGAGUGAUAUCUUGGGAUGUUUGGGACUUACAAGUGGUAUCAGAGCCAUUGAAUCCAUUCAAGGGCUCGGUUUUGAUAUCACUCAAAGAACAAGAAGGAUUUACACAGUGACGGGGGAUGUAUGUUCGUCAAAAGGAAGAUCUGCGGUUCACAAGGAUCAUGUCAAGGUGGAUGGAAGCGUGGAAGGCUAACAGGAAGGAUGCGAGGAAGCAAGUAUGAAACGGACGUUUAAGGUGACAGGAUGGAUCUUGGGCGCAAGUGUUGUAA